rnacentral:tRNA from 1 species
GGAGAGAUGACCGAGUGGCCGAAGGUGCACGCCUGCUAAGUGUGUGAGCGUCAAAAGCGCUCCGAGGGUUCGAAUCCCUCUCUCUCCGCCA